rnacentral:rRNA from 1 species
GGAUGAGCCCGCGGCCUAUCAUCUCGUUGGUGGGGUAACGGCCUACCAAGGCGACGACGGGUAGCUGGUCUGAGAGGACGACCAGCCACACUGGAACUGAGAUACGGUCCAGACUCCUACGGGAGGCAGCAGUGGGGAAUCUUGCACAAUGGGCGAAAGCCUGAUGCAGCGACGCCGCGUGGGGGACGAAGGCCCUCGGGUUGUAAACCCCUUUCGGCAGGGAAGAAGCGCAAGUGACGGUACCUGCAGAAGAAGCUCCGGCUAACUACGUGCCAGCAGCCGCGGCCGA